GACGAACGCUGGCGGCGUGCUUAACACAUGCAAGUCGAACGGAAAGGCCCUGCUUUUGUGGGGUUCUCGAGUGGCGAACGGGUGAGUAACACGUGAGUAACCUGCCCUGGACUUUGGGAUAACUUCAGGAAACUGGGGCUAAUACCGGAUAGGAGCUCCUGCCGCACGGUGGGGGUUGGAAAGUUUCGGCGGUUGGGGAUGGAUUCGCGGCUUAUCAGCUUGUUGGUUGGGUAGUGGCUUACCAAGGCUUUGACGGGUAGCCGGCCUGAGAGGGUGACCGGCCACAUUGGGACUGAGAUACGGCCCAGACUCCUACGGGACGCAGCAGUGGGGAAUAUUGCACAAUGGGCGGAAGCCUGAUGCAGCAACGCCGCGUGCGGGAUGACGGCCUUCGGGUUGUAAACCGCUUUCGCAUGUGACGAAGCGUGAGUGACGGUAAUGGGUAAAGAAGCACCGGCUAACUACGUG
rnacentral:rRNA from 1 species